rnacentral:rRNA from 1 species
UACAACUCUGAGCGGCGGAGCACUAUGGCCUGUGGAUGCUAUGAAGACC